CAAACUCUCUCUUCAUCCAUCGAUUGCCGCUAUGCAUUGCAUUUUGUCUUCACAGAUAAUCUGGACAAAUAAAUUAUAUUGUAACUGGAGAGUGCAAUCGUGCUUGGGACCCAUCCCAAUGUCAUCACAUGGCUGUGGUGACUAGUGUAUACCUGGGAGAAUUUUUCCUCAACUGAGACGGAGUGUAGAUGGAUGGAUUAUGAGAAAUGCGAAGAUGUGGAGUUCAAGGCUAGAUGCACUUCACAUUCGGCGUGGGAUCUCGGCGUCUCGGACCUGAUAACGUCUUGGUUGGAUGGGUGAUCAAGGAUGAUACUACUCGGCACACCAAUGUACAUGUCAAUGUAGUUUUUACUUUUUCAGAGCUGCACUAUUUACGUCUUGAUGCUUACUUCGGUGCUAGUGUUGUGUCCGUGUGUUGCUACAAUGUCAUUAUCUGUAUUGUAUUCCGUCUGCUUAUACAUGUGUCUUUAUGAAGUGUUUGCCAUGGCGGCGAUGUGUCUUGUCGAUCAAUAGUGUUGUGAAACCUAUCACUAUUCAUGCUUUGCUGGCUACUUGCUCGCUCCGCGCCGUGCACGCUACUAGGUCUUGUAGUAUAUAGCUCGAUGCUUUGCAUCGAUCGCUGGUUGUUGUUGUUCUUGUUGCUUCUCUGUUGUUUGAGCUUGGUCCUAGAGUGAA